AUCUGGCUGACGAGUCCCAAAUAGAACGAAACACGCGUCCUGGAU
rnacentral:hammerhead_ribozyme from 1 species